rnacentral:rRNA from 1 species
CAAUAGCGUAUAUUAAAGUUGUUGCAGUUAAAAAGCUCGUAGUUGAAUUUUUGCUUGCCGCCGAUGUCGGAACUUCCGUACGUUCGGCGGCGUGCAUCCUUGGGUGGAACCUGUGUGGCAUUAGGUUGUCGUGCAGGGGAUGCUCAUCGUUUACUGUGAAAAAAUUAGAGUGUUCAAAGCAGGCUUACGCCGUUGAAUAUAUUAACAUGGAAUAAUAAGAUAGGACCUUGGUACUAUUUUGUUGGUUUGCGCACCGAGGUAAUGAUUAACAGGGACAGUUGGGGGUAUUCGUAUUCCAUUGUCAGAGGUGAAAUUCUUGGAUUUCUGGAAGACGAACUACUGCGAAAGCAUUUACCAAGGAUGUUUUCAUUAA